CGCGGUCCGGGCACGAUGGCGUUGGCGAGGAUCUUUUCUUCACAACUUUCUUUGGUCUCUAAGGGCUUAUUUUGGAAAUGUAUCGACCAUCCUUGUGUUUUGGCAGUGGCACAGAAACAAACUGUAGCCCAGGAGCUUGGCCUGCCAGAGCCCCCAAAGCGACCCAUGACUCCAUACAUACGAUUUGUGAAUGCACAUCGCCAGGAAGUCAAGAGAAAAUUUCCUGAACUCACUUCACCUCAGUUGACGGCAAAAUUGGCAUCUCUCUGGAAUGAACUCGGUUUGCCAGAGAAGAGCAAGUGGUCUUUACUUUACACUAAAGACAAAGAAACUUAUGACAUAGAAUAUAAGGAGUACAUGAAGAAGCUCACACCACAGCAGAUUGAGAGCAUGAAAGACCUGAAGCGAAAAAGAUCUCAGGACAAGUUGAAACGCCAGAUGAGGAGGGACAAAAAGAAGGAAACCGAAGAACUGGGAAAACCAAAGCACCCUGGUAAUGCCUUCACCUUGUACCUCCUCUCCUUAGACAGAGGAGAUGCUCCUCUCAAGGAAUUCCUUGCUGGUGCUGCAAGCAGGUGGCGUCGUUUGCCGGAAGAGGAACAGGAGAUAUUCCGUGAGCGCGCGAAAAAACAGAGGGAACAAUAUGAACAAGAGCUCAGACAUUGGGAGGCCAAAAUGAUCAAGAGUGGAAGGGCAGAUUUAGUGCGUCGACACCAGCAGCUGGAAGAACUGAAGCACACUGCCACUCAUCGUCGGCACAUUCAAGAAUAGGGAUUCGCAUCAGGUGAUGCUAAGGGAGAGUCAGGGGGUCUGGACAGAUCUCCGAAGAAAAGGAAGAAACAAGACCAGAAGACGUUAGCUGAUAGUCAGAAUGUAGUUAGAGAAGAACGUGUAGACAAGAAAAGUACCAAGAUAAAGAAACGUCUGGGCAGCUAUGCUCUUGGAAGAACUGAAGAGGUGAAUGUACACCAGAGAAAAGUGAAAGUUACUGUAAAGAUUGAUCCAUCAGACAGAGAAACAAAAAGUGAUUGUCAAAAAUCAAUUCCUGAGUCCAUAAGUCUUCCCCCUAGCAUUGAGACUAUGGAAAAAGAUAAGUUAAUUACCUCAGGAAAAGCUGAUAAAUAUAAUGAUGAUCACUUAGACUCUGGGCUCUUCCCAGAAUCACCUGAAUGUCAGAGAAAUGUCCAGGUUAUGAAACCAGGAAUCUUUUUGAAGUCAUCAAAUAUGACUACAGAAUCUGUUAGAAGUCAGGAGUUGGUAGAACAUAACAGUUUUGAUUUAAGCCAUAAACAGUUGCCGGUGAAGAAGUGUAUUAAAGCUGUAAAUGUUGAAAUUGUUUCUGAUGGGAACCCUGAAAAACUUGCUCCAAGGGUACAAGAUAAGCUAGGCAGUCAUUUAGGAAUAAAAUCAGCCAUCAUGCAUGCAAAUAAAAAUCCAUUAAACCACUUUAAUACAAAAUAUUUACACAUAGAGAAUUUUUAUCAUCAAGACCAAUCACAUUCUGUGCUUAAUCCACAGUCAACAAAUAUUGCUACUCUGCCUGGUAAUGAACACUCAGGAAAUGUAAACAAAUGUACAAGCAGUUUUUCUUCAGUGUCACCUGCUCAAGAGGUAGCAUCAGAUAUUCUGGUUCUUGAAGGCAAGGAUUCAAGCAGUGAUCACAUCGAAAAAGGCUGGUGGUUGUGGAUCUUUGCUGAUGGCUGGGCAGAUAUCUGGACAUGGCUGGAAUACCUUCUUGAUGAACUCUUCCCUCCAGCUCAUGGUUUUCAGGAAGAAAUACCAGAUAGCACUAAGGAAAGGUGUUCUCAUGAUCUGAAAAGCAAAAGCUAAUCGGGUACACCCAUUUCUUAACUUCCUGCUACAGUCUUUCAGUCAAGUGGUGACUUUGCCCAGUUUGUUAAUAUUCCUUUUGUGCCAUAAAUCCGGAUAUAUAGUAGUAUCUCAUCUUUUGUAAAGGAGCAAUAGAAAUUGGAUAAAAAGCAUGAGGAAUGAAUUGCCUCAUUAUAGCAGGAUAAGAAGAAAAUGUAAUGUUCCACUGAAUAAGAAGUAGCCAGGUGUCUGGAAAUUGACGAAAGUUUGUUAUUUUGUUGCCUGCUAUGUCAUCUCAGAAUGAUGUCAAUGAGUGUACAUUUUGAAGUAAUAAAUAUGGAAAAUA